AUUGAACGCUGGCGGAAUGCUUUACACAUGCAAGUCGAACGAUGAAGCCUAGCUUGCUAGGUCGAUUAGUGGCGAACGGGUGAGUAAUAUAUCGGAACGUAUCCAAUAAUGGGGGAUAACUAGUCGAAAGAUUGGCUAAUACCGCAUACGUCCUACGGGAGAAAGCUGGGGAUCGUAAGACCUGGCGUUAAUGGAGCGGCCGAUAUCUGAUUAGCUAGUUGGUGAGGUAAAGGCUCACCAAGGCGACGAUCAGUAGCUGGUCUGAGAGGACGACCAGCCACACUGGAACUGAGACACGGUCCAGACUCCUACGGGAGGCAGCAGUGGGGAAUUUUGGACAAUGGGCGAAAGCCUGAUCCAGCCAUUCCGCGUGAGUGAAGAAGGCCUUCGGGUUGUAAAGCUCUUUCGCAAGGGAAGAACACUUACUUAAUAACACUAAGUGAGGUUGACGGUACCUUGAUAAGAAGCACCGGCUAACUACGUGCCAGCCGCCGCCGUAA
rnacentral:rRNA from 1 species